CUUUGGUACUAUUUUGUUGGUUUAUAGGACCGAAGUAAUGAUUAAUAGGGACAGUUGGGGGCAUUCGUAUUUUACAGUCAGAGGUGAAAUUCUUAGAUUUGUGAAAGACGAACUUCUGCGAAAGCAUUUGCCAAGGAUGUUUUCAUUAAUCAAGAACGAAAGUUAGGGGAUCGAAGACGAUCAGAUACCGUCGUAGUCUUAACCAUAAACGAUGCCGACUAGGGAUUGGUGGAUGUUAAAUUUCUGACUCCAUCAGCACCUCCAGAGAAAUCGCAAGUUUUUGGGUUCCGGGGGGAGUAUGGUCGCAAGGCUGAAACUUAAAGGAAUUGACGGAAGGGCACCACCAGGAGUGGAGCCUGCGGCUUAAUUUGACUCAACACGGGGAAACUCACCAGGUCCAGA
rnacentral:rRNA from 1 species